UAACACAUUCAAGUCGAACGAAGCACUUGGUUUGAGACCCUUCGGGAGGAUGAUCAUUUGACUUAGUGGCGAACGGGUGAGUAACGCGUGAGGAACCUGCCUUUCAGUGGGGGACAACAGUUGGAAACGACUGCUAAUACCGCAUAAUGUAGCGAGACCGCAUGAUCUUGCUACCAAAGCUUUAUGUGCUGAAAGAUGGCCUCGCGUCUGAUUAGCUAGUUGGUGGGGUAACGGCCCACCAAGGCGACGAUCAGUAGCCGGACUGAGAGGUUGAACGGCCACAUUGGAACUGAGAUACGGUCCAGACUCCUACGGGAGGCAGCAGUGGGGAAUAUUGGGCAAUGGGCGAAAGCCUGACCCAGCGACGCCGCGUGAGGGAAGAAGAUCUUCGGAUUGUAAACCUUAGUCAACAGGGAAGAAGAAAGUGACGGUACCUGUGGAGGAAGCCACGGCUAACUACGUG
rnacentral:rRNA from 1 species